rnacentral:rRNA from 1 species
AACGAACGCUGGCGGCAUGCCUAACACAUGCCAGUCGAACGAGACCUUCGGGUCUAGUGGCGCACGGGUGCGUAACGCGUGGGAACCUGCCCUUAGGUUCGGAAUAACUCCCCGAAAGGGGUGCUAAUACCGGAUAAUGUCUUCGGACCAAAGAUUUAUCGCCUUUGGAUGGGCCCGCGUUGGAUUAGCUAGUUGGUAGGGUAAAAGCCUACCAAGGCGACGAUCCAUAGCUGGUCUGAGAGGAUGAUCAGCCACACUGGGACUGAGACACGGCCCAGACUCCUACGGGAGGCAGCAGUGGGGAAUAUUGGACAAUGGGCGAAAGCCUGAUCCAGCAAUGCCGCGUGAGUGAUGAAGGCCUUAGGGUUGUAAAGCUCUUUUACCCGGGAUGUUAAUGACAGUACCGGGAGAAUAAGCGCCGGCUAACUCCGUG